rnacentral:rRNA from 1 species
GAUGAACGCUGGCGGCGUGCCUAAUACAUGCAAGUCGAGCGAACGGACGAGAAGCUUGCUUCUCUGAUGUAAGCGGCGGUCGGGGGAGUAACACGUGGAGAACCGCCCUAGAAGACUGGGAUAACUUCGGGAAACCGGAGCUAAUACCGGAUAAUAUUUUGAACCACAUGGUUCAAAAGUGAAAGACGGUCUUGCUGUCACUGAUAGAUGGAUCCGCGCUGCAUUAGAUAGUGGGUAAGGUAAGGGCUUACGAAGGCAACGAUGCAAAGCCGACAUGAGAGGGUGAUCGGCCACACGAGAACUGAGACACGGCCCAGACUCCUACGGGAGGCAGCAGUAGGGAAUCCUACGCAAUGGGCGAAAGCGUGACGGAGCACCGCGGCGUGAGUGAUGAAGGUCUUCGGCUCGUAAAACGCUGUUAUUAGGGAAGAACAUAUGUGUAAGUAGCUGUGCACAUCUUGACGGUACCUAAUCAGAAAGCCACGGCUAACUACGUG